rnacentral:rRNA from 1 species
GACGAACCGUGCGAACGUUGUUCGGAAUCACUGGGCUUAAAGGGCGCGUAGGCGGGCCAUCAAGUCAGAGAUGAAAUCCCCCGGCUCAACCGGGGAACUGCCUUUGAUACUGGCGGUCUGGAGUAAGGUAGGGGCAUGCGGAACUGAUGGUGGAGCGGUGAAAUGUGUUGAUAUCAUCAGGAACUCCGGUGGCGAAAGCGGCGUGCUGGACCUUUACUGACGCUGAGGCGCGAAAGCCAGGGGAGCAAACGGG